UUUGAAAGAACCUUAUGUGCCUAAUGAUUUUGCUAAUGAUGGUUCUAAUGCUAUGUCUUUGGGUUGUUCUGGUGAUGAUGAAGAGUUUGAUAAGGCACUUUACAAUUUCUAUGUGAAUAAUAAAGUCAAGUAGCUGAAGAGAAAAUUAUCAUCUGCUGGCAGAAGGAA